CUUCAGUGAUGAUAUGAUAAUGAGUUGGAACAGGACAGUUUGUCUCUGGUCAGUGUCACGUUCUGUCUCUCUGGGUUCAGUUCCCCACAACGGCGCGUCUCUUACUGAAGACAUCAAGGCGUUUGUCUGAGAAGA
ensembl:snoRNA SNORD15 Small nucleolar RNA SNORD15